rnacentral:tRNA from 2 species
GCACUUAUGGCGGAAUUGGCAGACGCGUCAGACUUAGGAUCUGAUGCCUUACGGCGUGGGGGUUCAAGUCCCUUUAAGUGCA